AUACGGAGGGAGCGAGCGUUAAUCGGAAUUACUGGGCGUAAAGCGCGCGUAGGCGGCUUUGUAAGUCGGAUGUGAAAGCCCCGGGCUUAACCUGGGAAUGGCAUUCGAUACUGCAGAGCUAGAGUAUGGUAGAGGGAAGUGGAAUUUCCGGUGUAGCGGUGAAAUGCGUAGAUAUCGGAAGGAACACCAGUGGCGAAGGCGACUUCCUGGGCCAAUACUGACGCUGAGGUGCGAAAGCGUGGGGAGCAAACAGGAUUAGAAACCCCAGUAGUCC
rnacentral:rRNA from 1 species